rnacentral:lncRNA from 1 species
UCGGAUACUCCCAGAUCCAACGGCCCACAACCCCAACAACCGCGAGCUACCCCUAAAAAAACCACCAGACCUCCUCUCUCCUCUACAAACCACUCCUCUCUCUCCCGUGCAGUGAACCUCCCCUCCCAGAUCCCAAUCUAGAUCCAGAUCUCUCCCCUCCCCUCGCUGCCAUCCACCGCCGCUCAUCGCCAUCCACCUCCGUUCCUCCAGCGCCGGAGUCUGCGUGGCAUUGGCAGGCCGACCACCAUGGCACACUACCCUCCCCUCCUCUCUCCCCUCCCUCCACCC